ensembl:lncRNA
CCCCGCCCUCUGCAUGAGGAUUAUAAAUUAUAUGCCGCUACUUUGUGAUGGUAUCUUGAGUAACUUAGUUGGGGCAUUAAAGGCUAUACCUUUAAAAAGGUUUCAAAACACGAACACAAAUUUUUGAGAGUCCUCCCUUUAAGGACAGGAGCCUCUUGCCCUCCCCUGGCGUGUGGAACGGGACCGGAUCAUUCAGUCAGGUUUAGAGGGCAGAAGUGAUGGCCGUGCUCUGGGAAGGUGGAGCUUACUCAGCCCUGCAGCUUCCUUGUCUUCAGAGUGUGUUAGCCGACAGGAAGAGGCUUCGUGGUGAGCAGCAGAGGCCUGCAGACAAUAACCACAGGAGUGAGCCAUCUUGGAAGCAGAUCCCCAGCCUCCACCAACACCUCAGUUGCUUGACAACAUCCUGACCACAGACAGCCACAGAAGAGAGCCGGAACCACACACGUUCAGCAGAAGCUGCUGCGCUUGAAUCCUUGAAUCCUGACCCACUCAAGGGUUUCUCUGUAGGUUUGGAGACCCAUCCUGGAACUCUCUUUGAAGGCCAGGCUGGCCUGGAACUUGGAACUCACAGAGAUCCACCUGCCUCUGCCUCCCAAUUAAAGGCGUGUGCCACCACCGCCCAGCAAUUUUAACAAUUUAAUAGAAGAAGGAUUGUGUGAAUGUUCUCUUUCUCAUUCAAAAUAUAGGUUUUUCUAUUUGAUUCUUUCAGCUCACAGUUGGCUGAAGGAAAAGGUAUUUUGAGAAAGUGAAGCUACAGAUAAGGGGGAGCUAGGGUGCCCAUUCUUGGCCGUGGUAAAAUGCGUAGAUGCUGCAUUGGCCCUCCCUGGUAAACAUCUUACUCAGCUAUGCAGCUGAAUGAAGCUUAGACGGCUGCUAUCCUGAGAGAGAGAAAGCACAUCCCACUGUGACUGAAUCUGACCUUACAGAGGUCCUGUGAAAAAACAGAUCCACUGAGCCCAGGUUGGUAAGACACAGCAAGGGAUGUUUGGUUAGAUCAAUAGUACAGUAGGAAGACUGCCAGGAACUUGCCAGGGGCCAGGAAAAUAAAGUAACUCAGAAGGAUAAGAAAUGAUGUAUGAGGACCCAGAUUCAGGGAGCAGGGAGCAAGUCCUGGUAAAUGGAGGAAGGUAAAGUUCAGUGGGGAAGAUGGACGAAAACAAACUCGUCCUAGGCUAAGAGUGGAUUUUAUACAUCUAACUAGAAGUCAGACUAGUGGUCUCAAGGGUGUAGAUUACAGCCACAAGGUCAGAGGCCACAGGAUCAAUUUUGUCCUGGAUAGAGAACAAUUGAGAAAUGUUAGGAUUAUAUCUCAAAACAGUUCAUAAAGACUCUGGCUGCCUUUGAGAAUUCAACAGGAAAUAAUGUCUUUUUCCAUUAAAUGCAAGUGCUAGCCAGAACCUCUGGUAAUUCCUGAAACUGCUAUUGGUGUCUGCUGGUACAUCUUUAUUUUCACAACCCCUGUGACAGCAUGGAGGUGAGGCAAUACUAGGACCAUGGCCAUGGCUGUUUUCAGAGCCAUGUAAUUCACCUCUACAUCUCCAGCAGUAUUAUCUCAGACACCUCAACCAGGUAUCCCUGAACCUGCCUAGGCUGGCCUAAUGGCAAUCCAGAGCCAGCAUGACUGAAAUCUUCUUAUCUGCAUUGGGCUAUGGCCCUUCACAACCUUAGCCAUAAAAAGACGACAUUCCAUUAUUUUCAACAGCAUGGAUGAAACUGGAGAACAGCAUCUUAAAUAAGACAGACAUAAAAACAAACACCACAGGGCUGGAGAGAUGGCUCAGAGGUUAAGAGCACUGACUGCUCUUCCAGAGGUCCUGAGUUCAAUUCCCAGCAACCACAUGGUGGCUCACAACCAUCCCUUAUGAGAUCUGGUGCCCUCUUCUGAUGUGCAGAUAUACAUGGAAGCAGAAUGUUGCAUACAUAAUAAAUAAAUAAAAUCUUAAAAAAAAAAAAACACCACAUCACUUCACUCAUAUGUGGAAGCUACAAGUUGUUCUCAAAGACACUGAGAGUGGAGGUUUGAGGCUAUAGCUCACUUGAUAGAGUGUAUGCUUAGUGAGGAGGUUUCAAAAAGAAUGGCCCCG